rnacentral:rRNA from 1 species
UACGUAGGGUGCGAGCGUUGUCCGGAAUUACUGGGCGUAAAGAGCUCGUAGGUGGUUUGUCGCGUUGUUCGUGAAAACUCACAGCUUAACUGUGGGCGUGCGGGCGAUACGGGCAGACUUGAGUUCGGUAGGGGAGACUGGAAUUCCUGGUGUAGCGGUGAAAUGCGCAGAUAUCAGGAGGAACACCGGUGGCGAAGGCGGGUCUCUGGGCCGAUACUGACGCUGAGGAGCGAAAGCGUGGGGAGCGAACAGG